rnacentral:tRNA from 1 species
GUGGUCCCAGCUCAGUGGUAGAGCACUUGCCUAGUGUGUGAGGCACUGGGUUCGAUUCCCAGCACCACA